AUGAAUGACCUAAUUCGACUAUACAAGAAAGCCUUUCUAGAUGGAAACGAAGAUGUUGUUAGUGACAUCGAGAAGGCAAUCACUAGCAUGGAGGAAGAGAGAAGUAAAGCAGCUUCUCAGUUUGAAAGUAUCACAGCUGAAAUAGCUUCAGGGAAGAAUAAGUUUCUUCGCUUAAAUGCUGAUCUAGAGAAUUUCCGGAAGCAGACUGAAAAGGACCGUGCAAAGUUUACAUCGAAUAUACAAGUGGAACUUGUACAGAGUCUGUUGCCUCUGGUUGACAGCUUUGAGAAAACAAAUGUAGAGGUCACCCUAGAGACUGAGAAAGAGCAGAAGAUUAGCGCAAGCUAUCAAGGCAUAUACAAGCAAUUAGUAGAAACACUGAAAAACUUAGGCGUAGGGGUUGUGGAAACUGUUGGCAAGCCAUUUGAUCCAGUGGUGGAUUGCUGGCAAUCUGCUGGUCAAACGAUUCUUUCAUACUUACAACCUGGUUCAUAUUCUGUAGUUCAUGAGGCUAUCGCGCGUGAAGAAUCCACAGAGUUCAAGGCAGGGAUUGUCUCACACGAAGUCCACCGAGGGUUCCUUCUGAGGGAGAGGGUGCUAAGGCCUGCCGCGGUGAAGGUCUCUAAUGGUCCUGGUGACCAAAACGUGAGCUCCACAUCUUCGGAGGAGCCCGUGGAGGACACCAAAGAGGAUGCCGCCGUGUGA
rnacentral:rRNA from 1 species